CAGGCAGAUGGUGCCAGAGUUUCGAAAAUAUUUGUGAGUAGUUAUCCAGCGUUCUUCCUGACUGAUCUUGUUCUCUGACCUUGCAUUGCCUCACGGAUUUUGCCUUCCUGUUCCUUGUCUGAUGGAUUGGAUUUCUGGAUUUCGACUCUGUUUUCUGCCUCUGGUUUUAUGCCUCUGCCUGCCCCUUGUCUGACGCCUCUAGCCCUGGAAUUCGACCCUGUUUCUGUCCCUGGAUUUACGCCUCAGCCUAGCCACUGGUUUAUUCAGCCUGAGCCCGCCUGGCUCUCAAGUCCGCCUGGAAUUAUUGUCAAGAGGACAAUCACAGCUCUCUGUGUUCCUGUCACAGUUUCAGCUGAUUCCCCGGAAGAUUCGGAUCAGUCGGCAAUCCGACUUCAGUCUGUUGGAUUCUUCCUCAUUAACUGUCUGGAUCACUUCCUCUUCUGGAUUCUGUGCCUCAUCCCCAGACUGAGAAGAUUCCGGCAUGAGGGAAAUAAUUUCUAUGCUGUGCUCCAUGACUCUGGCCUCCACGCCAGCGCCCUCACAGCCAGUUUCCCCCAGAGUUCCUGAUUUUUUGCUGUGCAGGGGCAGGCUUCUUCUUUGUGGGGAAGAAGGAUGGUUCCUUGAGACCAUGCAUAGACUACAGGGGACUAAACGGAAUCACCAUCAAGAACCGAUGCCCUUUACCACUAAUGAACACUGCUUCCUGAUGGACAUGUGGUUCCUGGAAGCUGACUGCUGUUCUCCUGCUUUCUGAUCCUGAGUUACUGAAUAAACC